GACGAACGCUGGCGGCGUGCUUAACACAUGCAAGUCAAACGGAAAGGCCCUGCUUUUGUGGGGUGCUCGAGUGGCGAACGGGUGAGUAACACGUGAGUAACCUGCCCUUGACUUUGGGAUAACUUCAGGAAACUGGGGCUAAUACCGGAUAGGAGCUCCUGCUGCAUGGUGGGGGUUGGAAAGUUUCGGCGGUUGGGGAUGGACUCGCGGCUUAUCAGCUUGUUGGUGGGGUAGUGGCUUACCAAGGCUUUGACGGGUAGCCGGCCUGAGAGGGUGACCGGCCACAUUGGGACUGAGAUACGGCCCAGACUCCUACGGGAGGCAGCAGUGGGGAAUAUGGCACAAUGGGCGGAAGCCUGAUGCAGCAACGCCGCGUGCGGGAUGACGGCCUUCGGGUUGUAAACCGCUUUCGCCUGUGACGAAGCGUGAGUGACGGUAAUGGGUAAAGAAGCACCGGCUAACUACGUG
rnacentral:rRNA from 1 species